rnacentral:sRNA from 1 species
GAUUCCAAAACACGAACGAUCACGUAAAGCUCGAAUGUUUCUCCACCAAUGGGUCUAUUUAUCUCGUAAAUUUUUGGAGCUUCAACUUCCAAAAUUGAAACAUCAUUCUCCACCUGUCGAAGGUCUCGCAAAGAAGCAAGUUAUCGCUGCAAAUGCAAUAAAAGAAGGUGUUAGGAAGCAAAUUUCACUUUUUGAAAAUAAGAAAGAGUAAGAUUUUUUUCCAAGUUUUUAAACAAUUUCCUAAUUUCCUAAAGAACUUCCAGUCGUCUGCCCGGUGAUCCUGUCUACGUAUUCCAGUUUACGGAGCCUGUUUU